rnacentral:rRNA from 1 species
AACUCUAAGCGGUGGAUCACUCGGCUCAUGGGUCGAUGAAGAACGCAGCAAACUGUGCGUCAUCGUGUGAACUGCAUGAACAUCGACAUUUUGAACGCAUGCUGUUAUGUACUUUAAUUAAUUUUAUAGUGCUGCUUGGACUACAUAUGGUUGAGGGUUG